CAAACAAUGGAAAAAUUAUUUUUGUUUUGAAUUUGUGGGAGUAAUUCAUAUAGGGAAAAAAUCACGUGCUCACACCUACGUUAUGUGAAUAUUUGAUGAGAAUAGGAAAUGGACAAGAAAAAACAAAUAGCCAUGACAAAAUUGAAAUCCCUGAUUGUUUUGUUAUCCCUUUCGUUUCUGAAAAUCAAUCAUUAGUUCUGUUGUUUAGAGUUACUUAUCCAAAUCUACAUACAUGUUUUUCUGAUGCAUCUUCUAUGACUUCUCGUGUAAUUCUGACAACCAAAAAUGACUUUGUCGAUGAAAUAAAUGAUUUGUUCAUAGCUCAAUUUCCUGGUGAUCUUAUACGUUGCAUUUGAUGAGACUAUUGAAGUAAACGAUCAAAGUCAAUAUGAAGAUUUUUUGCAUACUUUAUAUCCUGUUGGUUUACCUCCCCAUAAAUUAACCUUGAAAAAGAAUUGUCCUGUUAUGUUGUUACGAAAUUUAAAUCCCUGUGAAGGUUUAUGCAAUGGUACACGACUUAUAUCUUGUGAUCUUCGAAAACAUGUUAUAAGUGCUAAAAUUGCCACUGAAAUCUUUAAGAAUACACAUGUAUUUAUUCCUAGAAUACCAUUAUUAUCAUCGGCAGAUGAAAAAUUGCCUAUUCCUUUCAAAAGAACACAAUUUCCUUUGAGAUUAUAUUUUGCUAUGACAAUAAAUAAAGCUCAAGGUCAAACGUUGGACUUCGUGGGAGUUUAUUUACGCGAACCUAUUUUUUUCACACGGUCAGCUCUACUUAGCGCUAUCAAGAGCAAAAAGUUCCAAUUGUGUAAAACUAUUAAUUCGACCACCUACAACAGAUAGUGAUGAUAAUCAUUCAACUUACAAUAUAGUAUAUGAUGAAAUCAUUCAAAAAGCUUUUGCAUAAAUAGUUCCAGAGGAUGGCCCCAACUUCUGUUCUGUACUAUGCUCACAUAAUUCAUGGCAAUUUGGCUUGAGGUUUUGCAUAGUCCUAGAAGUUACUCUAAUAUUGUUACAGAGGUAUUUUUAUCUUUAUCCGUGUGUUUAUUGUUCAUUUAAUGAUUCUUGUUGAAACAACUUUUUUGCACCUUUGCUAUGCAAUAACCAAGGGUUAACUUAUUUGCUUGCAAAUCCUUGCUAAAUUUUGUAUGUUCUAAAAAAUGGAAAAGUUUUCUGAUGUGCAACAAAUAGAUCAAUGUUGUAUCUAUUUGAUUUUACUGUUUCUAUGGUAUGUAUAGUCUAUUCCAUCUCUGUCUCAUUUUGUUCAUCUAUCUUGCAUUCUUUUUCGUGCUUCAAUAUUAUUUGAUAAUCCAAAUGCAUUUUCUUGCAUCAAUAGUAUUAGGUUAUUUCAUGCCAAUAUUUUAGAAUAUUAUAAGUACUGCAUGAUGAAUAAUAUAACUAUUACUAACAGAAAAUAAAAAACUGUGUUAUAGCUCAUGUAUUCAUAUCAUUUGGACACUUGCUUGGUGAUGUACUUAAAAAACUUGGUGGUUGUUUUAAACUUUCUUUUUCUAUCAGAUUCAUUGUCACUUAACUGUUGUAGAAUACUCUACAUACUGAUUCUUUUGUGAAAAAUCAGAAAGAAUUGGAGUUAUGCUGCAACACAGUCAAUCUCAACUCCGGACAAAUGAGGAGCAUUUACUGUCUCUUAAAAAAAGGUUUCAACGAUAAUGCUGAUAUAAAUUAGGCAGAAAGGGAUAGCGGUUAACGUAACCAAUAGUGUUGAUCAAAAGCAGAAUAGCAUGGAAGGAGCUGUCAUCAAUAUUAUGUGCUUAUAUUUUAGCCCCAUGACUAAUGAAUGACUUAAGAGAAAUAACUAAUAGGAGUACUAUAUAUGUGAGUUAUAUCUUUAGGGUUAAAAGUAGAGUAAACUUCUCCUUACUCUAAUAGUAUUUUUAUUUUGAAAUUCUAAUUGUGUUAAAAAUCAAACUCUAAUCCUUUCCUACCCUUGAUAGAUGAUUCAAUAAAUGCAAUUUCUAUUUCUCUCUCUAA